UACGUAGGGGGCAAGCGUUGUCCGGAAUUAUUGGGCGUAAAGAGCUCGUAGGCGGUUUGUCGCGUCUGCUGUGAAAACUCGGGGCUUAACCCCGGGCCUGCAGUGGGUACGGGCAGACUAGAGGGCGGUAGGGGAGACUGGAAUUCCUGGUGUAGCGGUGAAAUGCGCAGAUAUCAGGAGGAACCCCGGUGGCGAAGGCGGGUCUCUGGGCCGUAACUGACGCUGAGGAGCGAAAGCGGGGGAGCGAACAGG
rnacentral:rRNA from 1 species